UACGAGGGGUGCAAGCGUUGCUCGGAAUUAUUGGGCGUAAAGGGUAGGUAGGUGGUCUCAUUUGUCUGGGGUGAAAGCCUUGAGCUUAACUCAAGAAGUGCCCUAGAAACGGUGAGACUGGAGUCCUGGAGAGGGUCGUGGAAUUCCCGGUGUAGCGGUGAAAUGCGUAGAGAUCGGGAGGAACACCAGAGGCGAAGGCGGCGACCUGGACAGGUACUGACACUCAACUACGAAAGCGUGGGGAGCAAACAGG
rnacentral:rRNA from 1 species